UGGGGAAUUUUGCACAAUGGGGGAAACCCUGAUGCAGCAACGCCGCGUGAGUGAAGAAGGCCCUUGGGUUGUAAAGCUCUUUCGGCUAGGAAGAGGGUUGUUAUGGUUAAUACCUGUAGCAGCUGACGGUACUAGAAGAAGAAGCACCGGCUAACUCCGUGCCAGCAGCCGCGGUAAUACGGAGGGUGCAAGCGUUGUUCGGAAUGACUGGGCGUAAAGGGCGCGUAGGUGGACGUUUAAGUUAGAUGUGAAAUCCCAGGGCUUAACCCUGGAGCUGCAUCUAAUACUGGAUGUCUUGAAUGUUCGAGAGGUUGGUGGAAUUCCAGGUGUAGGAGUGAAAUCCGUAGAUAUCUGGAGGAACAUCGGAGGCGAAGGCGGCCAACUGGCGAAACAUUGACAC
rnacentral:rRNA from 1 species